UGGGGAAUAUUGCACAAUGGGCGCAAGCCUGUUGCAGCCAUGCCGCGUGUAUGAAGAAGGCCUUCGGGUUGUAAAGUACUUUCAGCGGGGAGGAAGGGAGUAAAGUUAAUACCUUUGCUCAUUGACGUUACCCGCAGAAGAAGCACCGGCUAACUCCGUGCCAGCAGCCGCGGUAAUACGGAGGGUGCAAGCGUUAAUCGGAAUUACUGGGCGUAAAGCGCACGCAGGCGGUCUGUCAAGUCGGAUGUGAAAUCCCCGGGCUCAACCUGGGAACUGCAUUCGAAACUGGCAGGCUAGAGUCUUGUAGAGGGGGGUAGAAUUCCAGGUGUAGCGGUGAAAUGCGUAGAGAUCUGGAGGAAUACCGGUGGCGAAGGCGGCCCCCUGGACAAAGACUGACGCUCAGGUGCGAAAGCGUGGGGAGCAAACAGG
rnacentral:rRNA from 1 species